UACAACAUAGUGCCAAUGCACCAGAUCCCAUUAGAACUUCGUAGUUAAGCAUGCUCAUGCUAGAUUAGUAAUGGGAUGGGUGACCUCCCCAUAAGUCCUAGUGUUUUAC
rnacentral:rRNA from 1 species